CGGCGAGGGGAGUGAAAAAGAACCUGAAACCGUGUACGUACAAGCAGUGGGAGCACAGAGCAAUCUGUGUGACUGCGUACCUUUUGUAUAAUGGGUCAGCGACUUAUAUUCUGUAGCAAGGUUAACCGAAUAGGGGAGCCGAAGGGAAACCGAGUCUUAACUGGGCGUUAAGUUGCAGGGUAUAGACCCGAAACCCGGUGAUCUAGCCAUGGGCAGGUUGAAGGUUGGGUAACACUAACUGGAGGACCGAACCGACUAAUGUUGAAAAAUUAGCGGAUGACUUGUGGCUGGGGGUGAAAGGCCAAUCAAACCGGGAGAUAGCUGGUUCUCCCCGAAAGCUAUUUAGGUAGCGCCUCGUGAAUUCAUCUCCGGGGGUAGAGCACUGUUUCGGCAAGGGGGUCAUCCCGACUUACCAACCCGAUGCAAACUGCGAAUACCGGAGAAUGUUAUCACGGGAGACACACGGCGGGUGCUAACGUCCGUCGUGAAGAGGGAAACAACCCAGACCGCCAGCUAAGGUCCCAAAGUCAUGGUUAAGUGGGAAACGAUGUGGGAAGGCCCAGACAGCCAGGAUGUUGGCUUAGAAGCAGCCAUCAUUUAAAGAAAGCGUAAUAGCUCACUGGUCGAGUCGGCCUGCGCGGAAGAUGUAACGGGGCUAAACCAUGCACCGAAGCUGCGGCAGCGACACUGUGUGUUGUUGGGUAGGGGAGCGUUCUGUAAGCCUGCGAAGGUGUGCUGUGAGGCAUGCUGGAGGUAUCAGAAGUGCGAAUGCUGACAUAAGUAACGAUAAAGCGGGUGAAAAGCCCGCUCGCCGGAAGACCAAGGGUUCCUGUCCAACGUUAAUCGGGGCAGGGUGAGUCGACCCCUAAGGCGAGGCCGAAAGGCGUAGUCGAUGGGAAACAGGUUAAUAUUCCUGUACUUGGUGUUACUGCGAAGGGGGGACGGAGAAGGCUAUGUUGGCCGGGCGACGGUUGUCCCGGUUUAAGCGUGUAGGCUGGUUUUCCAGGCAAAUCCGGAAAAUCAAGGCUGAGGCGUGAUGACGAGGCACUACGGUGCUGAAGCAACAAAUGCCCUGCUUCCAGGAAAAGCCUCUAAGCAUCAGGUAACAUCAAAUCGUACCCCAAACCGACACAGGUGGUCAGGUAGAGAAUACCAAGGCGCUUGAGAGAACUCGGGUGAAGGAACUAGGCAAAAUGGUGCCGUAACUUCGGGAGAAGGCACGCUGAUAUGUAGGUGAAGUCCCUCGCGGAUGGAGCUGAAAUCAGUCGAAGAUACCAGCUGGCUGCAACUGUUUAUUAAAAACACAGCACUGUGCAAACACGAAAGUGGACGUAUACGGUGUGACGCCUGCCCGGUGCCGGAAGGUUAAUUGAUGGGGUCAGCGCAAGCGAAGCUCUUGAUCGAAGCCCCGGUAAACGGCGGCCGUAACUAUAACGGUCCUAAGGUAGCGAAAUUCCUUGUCGGGUAAGUUCCGACCUGCACGAAUGGCGUAAUGAUGGCCAGGCUGUCUCCACCCGAGACUCAGUGAAAUUGAACUCGCUGUGAAGAUGCAGUGUACCCGCGGCAAGACGGAAAGACCCCGUGAACCUUUACUAUAGCUUGACACUGAACAUUGAGCCUUGAUGUGUAGGAUAGGUGGGAGGCUUUGAAGUGUGGACGCCAGUCUGCAUGGAGCCGACCUUGAAAUACCACCCUUUAAUGUUUGAUGUUCUAACGUUGACCCGUGAUCCGGGUUGCGGACAGUGUCUGGUGGGUAGUUUGACUGGGGCGGUCUCCUCCUAAAGAGUAACGGAGGAGCACGAAGGUUGGCUAAUCCUGGUCGGACAUCAGGAGGUUAGUGCAAUGGCAUAAGCCAGCUUGACUGCGAGCGUGACGGCGCGAGCAGGUGCGAAAGCAGGUCAUAGUGAUCCGGUGGUUCUGAAUGGAAGGGCCAUCGCUCAACGGAUAAAAGGUACUCCGGGGAUAACAGGCUGAUACCGCCCAAGAGUUCAUAUCGACGGCGGUGUUUGGCACCUCGAUGUCGGCUCAUCACAUCCUGGGGCUGAAGUAGGUCCCAAGGGUAUGGCUGUUCGCCAUUUAAAGUGGUACGCGAGCUGGGUUUAGAACGUCGUGAGACAGUUCGGUCCCUAUCUGCCGUGGGCGCUGGAGAACUGAGGGGGGCUGCUCCUAGUACGAGAGGACCGGAGUGGACGCAUCACUGGUGUUCGGGUUGUCAUGCCAAUGGCACUGCCCGGUAGCUAAAUGCGGAAGAGAUAAGUGCUGAAAGCAUCUAAGCACGAAACUUGCC
rnacentral:rRNA from 1 species